UGCAAACAGAGGUUGGGCAGGCAGGACCAACCUGUGGAAGGAAUAAAAUCCUCCUCUCCAUAGCGUGGGCUUUUGGGAGGUGGGAUUGUCACCACAAGGUCAACAUCCCUGUGACAGCGGGGUGUGGUAGAAGGAUGUGAUUAUUGAUAUUACCUGGACGGGAAGGGCAGAGCCGAAUCCAGACGAAGCUCAGGAGAAGAAGCAGCAACGCCAGCAUGCCCCUGACAACCAAGGGUAUCUUGUAGCUUGUGCAGGGAUCUUCAAAAUCUUGAAGGAAACUGCAACUCCAUAUUCUAUAUAGGGAUAUCCUGCAUCAUCACCAUCCUUCUAUUAAUCCCACCAUUUAUCCUGAUCAUCAGAAAGCAUUGGGACAGAGG